UACGUAGGGGGCUAGCGUUAUCCGGAUUUAUUGGGCGUAAAGGGAACGCAGGCGGUCUUUUAAGUCUGAUGUGAAAGCCUUCGGCUUAACCGGAGUAGUGCAUUGGAAACUGGGGGACUUGAGUGCAGAAGAGGAGAGUGGAACUCCAUGUGUAGCGGUGAAAUGCGUAGAUAUAUGGAAGAACACCAGUGGCGAAAGCGGCUCUCUGGUCUGUAACUGACGCUGAGGUUCGAAAGCGUGGGUAGCAAACAGG
rnacentral:rRNA from 1 species